rnacentral:rRNA from 1 species
AGAGUUUGAUCAUGGCUCAGGAUGAACGCUAGCUACAGGCUUAACACAUGCAAGUCGAGGGGCAGCAUUGGGAUAGCUUGCUAUUCCAGAUGGCGACCGGCGCACGGGUGAGUAACGCGUAUCCAACCUUCCCCAUAGUAGGGCACAGCCCGGCGAAAGUCGGAUUAAUUCCCUAUGUUGUCCAGAGAGGACAUCUGACCUGGACGAAAGAUUCAUCGCUAUGGGAUGGGGAUGCGUCUGAUUAGGUUGCAGGCGGGGUAACGGCCCACCUGGCCGACGAUCAGUAGGGGUUCUGAGAGGAAGGUCCCCCACAUUGGAACUGAGACACGGUCCAAACUCCUACGGGAGGCAGCAGUGAGGAAUAUUGGUCAAUGGACGGAAGUCUGAACCAGCCAAGUAGCGUGCAGGAAGACGGCCCUAUGGGUUGUAAACUGCUUUUAUCAGGGGAUAAAGUGAGGUAUGUAUACCUUUUUGCAUGUACCUGAUGAAUAAGGACCGGCUAAUUCCGUGCCAGCAGCCGCGGUAAUACGGAAGGUCCGGGCGUUAUCCGGAUUUAUUGGGUUUAAAGGGAGCGCAGGCGGACAGUUAAGCGUGACGUGAAAUGCAGCGGCUCAACCGUAUGAAGUGCGUCGCGAACUGGCAGUCUUGAGUGAGUACGAUGUAGGCGGAGAUUCGUGGUGUAGCGGUGAAAAUGCUUAGAUAUCACGAAGAAACUCCGAUUGCGAUAGGCAGCCUACAAGUCCGUUUACUGACGCUAAAGCUCGAAAGGUGCGGGUAUCGAACAGGAUUAGAUACCCUGGUAGUCCGCACGGUAAACGAUGGAUGCCGCGCUGUUUGCGAUAUACUGUGAGCGGCCAAGCGAAAGCGUUAAGCAUCCCACCUGGGGAGUACGCCGGCAACGGUGAAACUCAAAGGAAUUGACGGAGGCCCGCACAAGCGGAGGAACAUGUGAUUUAAUUCGAUAAUACGCGAGGAACCUUACCCGGGCUUGAACUGCUGAGGAAGGAUACAGAGAUGUAGACGCCCUUCGGGGCCUCAGUGGAGGUGCUGCAUGGUUGUCGUCAGCUCGUGCCGUGAGGUGUCGGCUUAAGUGCCAUAACGAGCGCAACCCUUGCUGUCGGUUGCCAUCACGUAGUGGUGGGCACUCCGGCGGGACUGCCAUCGCAAGAUGUGAGGAAGGUGGGGAUGACGUCAAAUCAGCACGGCCCUUACGUCCGGGGCUACACACGUGUUACAAUGGGGGCACAGCGCGGAGCUACCUGGUGACAGGAUGCGAAUCGUGAAAUCCCCUCUCAGUUCGGACUGGAGUCUGCAACCCGACUCCACGAAGCUGGAUUCGCUAGUAAUCGCGCAUCAGCCAUGGCGCGGUGAAUACGUUCCCGGGCCUUGUACACACCGCCCGUCAAGCCAUGAAAGCCGGGGGUGCCUGAAGUCCGUCACCGCGAGGAUCGGCCUAAGGCAAAACUGGUGAUUGGGGCUAAGUCGUAACAAGGUAACCGUA